UCCUUAGCGACGCGGGCGCCCGCCUGAUUCCGUCACUCGGACUCCGGGUGCUCUCAGUGGCCUACGCAUCGCCAGUCCUGACAACAGCCUAGCAACAACUGGCUAGAGGCUAUGCCCACCUAGACCCCUUUGAGGUCAUGGGAUCACGGAGCCAGAAAUGCCUGUAGAGCAAUCUAGAUUUGAGGGGGAUGACAUUUGAACUGCGAUCUGAAGGGACAAGAGGAAGGUAGCCCUGAAAGGAACAUAGCGAAAAGCAUCCCUGGUAGAAGGAAAAUAAGCAAAGAUUGUGAGGCCGAAAUGAAGAGUAACAUCAAGGGAACUUGGUUUAUGAUACAGACGGCAUUACAAGUUUAGGCCAGCAUGUCUGGAGUAUGGUGCAAGAGAGAGAAAGAAGUGAAGAUGAGAUUGGAGAAGGAGCAAAGAGCCAGGUCAUGUAGGACAGUAUAGCUCAAGGCCAAAUAAUACCCACCUGUGAGUCCAGUGUGACUGAUGAGCCAACGGUCUGCAACCUCAAAACAGAAAGAAGGAGGAGGGUCCAAGAUCUUGCCAACACUAAGAUGUCAGAGGAGUAGGAUCCAGCCAUCAAAGAAUGUUCAGAACCCACUGAACAGACAGAGGGAAAACCAAGAGUGUGAUAUUCCUCAAGACAAAAGAAGAAAGCGGCAGGAAGAAGCUGAAUGGUCAGCUUUGUAGGCUGCUGACAAGAGUUUGGGUAAGGUGAGGACACACAAAUGUCCAUUUGAUGUGACAUCAUGAGUAUUGGUUGGUAACCUCAACUAGAGAAGUUUCUGUAGAUCUCUGGUAUGGAAUCCUGUCUGAAGAAGAUUGAAGAAUUAAUGUGAGAUAUGAAAGUAAAAAGAGCAGGGCAAUUACCCUCUUCAGAAGUUUUUCUGAGAAAGAGGAGAAUAAAACCGGGGCUGUGCUAUUAAGGGGAUAUGAGGUUUUGGAAGGAAUUCUUAAAGAUAAGUUUAUUAGUAUGUUCUCAUGCCUGUAAUAAAGACAUA
rnacentral:lncRNA from 1 species